GCGGAAGUAGUUCAGUGGUAGAACAUCACCUUGCCAAGGUGGGGGUCGCGAGUUCGAAUCUCGUCUUCCGCUCCA
rnacentral:tRNA from 6 species